rnacentral:rRNA from 1 species
CGUGUAGGCGGCUCGAGAAGUCUGGUGUGAAAUCGCAGGGCUCAACCCUGCGGGUGCGCUGGAAACUGACGGGCUUGAGUCCCGGGGGGAAGCUGGAAUUCCUGGUGUAGGAGUGAAAUCUGUAGAGAUCAGGAAGAACACCGGUGGCGAAGGCGAGCUUCUAUUCGAGGACUGACGCUGAGGCGCGAAAGCGUGGGGAGCAAACA